AGAACGAACGCUGGCGGCAGGCUUAACACAUGCAAGUCGAACGCUCGUAGCAAUACGGGAGUGGCAGACGGGUGAGUAACGCGUGGGAACAUACCCUCCGGUUCGGAAUAGCUCAGGGAAACUUGGAUUAAUACCGGAUACGGCUGAGAGGCGAAAGAUUUAUCGCCGGAGGAUUGGCCCGCGUUCGAUUAGCUUGUUGGUGAGGUAACGGCUCACCAAGGCGAUGAUCGAUAGCUGGUCUGAGAGGAUGAUCAGCCACAUUGGGACUGAGACACGGCCCAAACUCCUACGGGAGGCAGCAGUGGGGAAUAUUGGACAAUGGGCGCAAGCCUGAUCCAGCCAUGCCGCGUGAGUGAUGACGGCCUUAAGGUUGUAAAGCUCUUUCGCUCGGGACGAUAAUGACGGUACCGAGAUAAGAAGCCCGGCUAACUUCGCGCCAGCAGCCGC
rnacentral:rRNA from 1 species